AGUCAAUGAUCUAACGAUUGAUCUAGUUACUUAGAAAGAUGAAUUCUUCACAUAAAAUUUGUUUUAAUAAAAUAAAAGAAAAAUAAAAGGAGAAUAUUGAUAAAAAAUAAAAUCUAAAUUAUAAAGAAAAUAAUGAUAUUAUUUAUAAUGAUAUGUCUUAACAAAAAUUAGUGCCAGCAGUUGCGGUUAUACUAUGAAGGCAAACGUUAAUCAUUAAGGCUUAAAGGAUCCGUAGAAUAAUAAUUAAUAAUUAUUAGAGUUCAAAGUGAGAUUAAAGAAUAAUUAUAGUAAGGAUGAAAUAAUAUUGAUCAUAAUUAGACUGCUAAUAGUGAAGACAUUAAUCUAAAAAUGAACUGACAUUGAGGGAUGAAGGCAUAAGUAUCAAAACGGAUUAGAUACCCGAUUAGUUUAUGCAGUAAACGAUGAAUACUAAUAUUAUAAAAAAAAUUUAUAAUAAUAAGUGAAAACGUAAGUAUUCCGCCCGGUGAGUACGUUCGCAAGAAUGAAAUCCAAGACAAUAGACGGUUACAGAUAAAAGCAGUGGAUUGUGUUAU
rnacentral:rRNA from 1 species